rfam:Colius striatus contig41137, whole genome shotgun sequence.
GCUAUGUGAUGAUGCUCCUAAAGACUGAGCACAUUGUAGUUGGUCCAUGGUGUGUAUGUGAUGUGCUGCAGUGUUUUCAAGACGGGACUGAUGGCAGC